CCCAGGCCCGGUUUACCAGUGCUGAGGCGGAAGUCGCGCGGGCGCCGAAACGCGCGCUGAGCCUCGGGUCCUGCAGCAUCCAAGCCGCCGUCAUGGUGCGGAAGCUUAAGUUCCACGAGCAGAAGCUGCUGAAGCAGGUGGACUUCCUGAACUGGGAGGUCACCGAUCACAACUUGCACGAGCUGCGCGUGUUGCGGCGUUAUCGGCUGCAACGGCGCGAGGACUACACGCGCUACAACCAGCUGAGCCGUGCUGUGCGCGAGCUGGCGCGGCGCCUGCGGGACCUGCCGGAGCGCGACCCGUUUCGCGUGCGCUCCUCGGCCGCGCUGCUGGACAAACUGUAUGCUCUCGGCCUAAUUCCCACGCGCGGGUCGCUGGAGCUCUGCGAUUUCGUCACGGCCUCGUCCUUCUGCCGCCGCCGCCUACCCACCGUGCUCCUUAAGCUGCGCAUGGCGCAGCACCUCCAGGCCGCCGUAGCAUUCGUGGAGCAGGGUCACGUGCGCGUGGGCCCCGACGUGGUCACCGACCCCGCCUUCCUUGUCACGCGCAGCAUGGAGGACUUCGUCACCUGGGUUGACUCGUCCAAGAUCAAGCGGCACGUGCUGGAGUACAAUGAGGAGCGUGACGACUUCGAUCUGGAAGCCUAGCGGGUCCUCCCUCGCCAGGACUGCAUUUUACUGAUGGGGAAGCUGAGACCUGAUGCCUGAGAUUCUGUGAAGGCGCCCUCCCCAAGAGUGUGUCAGCCAAGAACUUGGCUCCUCAGCUACAGGCCCUCGCAGAGCCAAAGGGGUCACAUCUGUAAGUCUCCCUGGCUCAGGAAUCCAGAGAAGAAGACUAGAGACAGCAGCGAUCUGCCUGUGGGUGAAGCCUGCAGCAGAGCCUGCGUGUGGAGGUUGCAGAAUGUUUUACAGGGCUGGGCAAAUUUUUCAGUUUACCAAUCCCUUCCUCGGAAUGAGUGUUUUGGCAGAGCUCUUCCCCACAGGACUUCCUGUUGAUAUUCCAGCCCCAGGAAAUACCAUAUUAGAGGUCUGAAGUGUUUGCUUGCCUAAGGAAAUAAUCACCCUGUAGCUUGGCCAUCUAGCGGUUAGAAGUGGCCCAAGAGGUUCCUGGAAACUUCUUAUGAGUGGAGCCCUCAGGAGGCCCUAGGGCUGCCUUCCCCGGAGCAGCACCUGCACAGCCUCUGCCCAUCACAGCCUGCCAUGGCUCCCUGCCCAGCCUUUAAUUUAGACAGAGAUUAAUUCUGAUUCCCCAAUUGGAAUGGGUUUUACUGAAAGAAGCAAAGGAUGGGUUGGGAGUCAGGGAGCUUAGCCUGAUGACAGUGCAGGAAUGUGAAGCAAGAGGAUCUGCUCUAAUCCACCCCCCUCACUGGAAGGGAGAGUAGGGAGACUACCUCAUUUACCCAAGACUUCUACGAGGAGAAUAAUAGAAUGCCAAGACCAAUGGAUUGCUUUUACGUGUGCCUUCUCCAUUUCCCCAGGUGUAAGGCAGCAUUUGGUGAAGAAACAAGGGAAGGUGACACUGGGGAUGACAGUAAUAGCAAAUGCUUCUACUGUAUGUCAGGCACUAAAUGCAUUACAUAUCUUAAUCCAUUUAAUCCAACAAUCCAAUGACAUGGGGAAUCCAAUUCUCUACUUUUCAGAUGAGGAAACAGAGACAGAGAUGGGUCAAACUGCCCCAGAUUGUAUAGCCAAGAAGUGGUGAAGCUGGAAUGCUCCUUUAAGAGUCGUGUGAACGGCAAGACGGGAAUAAAGACACAGACCUACUAGAGAAUGGACUUGAGGAUAUGGGGAGGGGGAGGGGUAAGAUGUGACAGGGUGAGAGAGUGGCAUAGACAUAUAUACACUACCAAAGGUAAAAUAGACAGCUAGUGGGAAGCAACCGCAUAGCACAGGGAGAUCAGCUCAGUGCUUUGUGACCACCUAGAGGGGUGGG